UUCGGGACUUCCAUGCCGCCCGGUGCCGGGCUGGGCGGUCGCCUGGAGGCGACCGUUGAAGGGGGGGGUGCUGUAAGGGAUCAGGUGGUUAUGGUGUGGCUGUGGGGUGUUCCUUUUCUCCUUUGUAGGCUGGGCGGCUGAGUUCCUCCUCCUGCAGGGCGGAGCUGGAGGUGAAUUCUGCAGCGACCUUCACACCUGGAGCUCAUCAACAAUCCCUCCGAUUUUUAAGGACCAGCUCCAGCCUCCUGUCUCCGCCAGAGUGUUAACGUUGCAGUUGGGGUUUUGCUCGCUCCACGGACUCUCCAGCCGUCAGCCUGCCUGCCUCCCCUCGGAUUCAUUCUGGCACACCACCGUCCACACCACCAUUUCCUCGAGGACUCUAUCACAGUGAAUCCCGAACAUAACUUACCUGCCAGUCGCCGCCCUGGAAUCCACCUGCGAGCCGCCCGUGAAAUACCUGUGUCCACCUCGUUUCACUACCAGUGUUUUCAGCUCACCUCAUUUUUGCUAAGAGGCC